rnacentral:lncRNA from 1 species
CCCGGUUACCGAGAGGCGGAGCUACGGAGGUGUUGUGGCCCGGAUGUCGGGGCGCUGCCUUCGGGUUCGCUGAUCCCCUUUCUCCUGCUGGGGAGCUCGCUAGCGGCCAAUGGUGGCUCUAGCCAAUGGAAUGCGACACUCAGAACAUGCCUAUUGAAUGAAUGAAAUGAAUGAAUGAAUGAACGAAUGACUGGAAUCAGAUGUCACCGAUGAAAACAGCUUCUCCAGUAAUUUCUCCCUGUUGACAAGGUCCAAGAUGAUCUCUGUCGAUAUUCAACCAGCAUGCCUUGGACUUUAUUGUGGGAAGACCCUGUUAUUUAAAAAUGGCUCAACUGAAAUAUAUGGAGAAUGUGGGGUAAGUCUGAUGUUUAUAUAAUAUUUCAUUGGUAUAAUCCAUUUGCUUUUGAGAUAUUUUCACAUGUAGAAUCUUUUUUCGUAAACUUUAACUGAGAAGAGUAGAGAAGCAUUAAUAAAAUCCUUAUAUUUAUUAGAAUAUUGAAAUCUAUAUCCAGGCAGGUAUGGUGCCACUGAGUUACAUCCCCUGCCCAUUUAUAGUUAUUGCUAAUUUUUAAAUGAUUUAGUGCAGUGACUUAUACAGUAAGUUAAUGUUACAAC